AUGAGCCUCCACGUCGCCGCCGCGAUCCACUGCGGCCUCGGCCGGCACGCCGACGCCGUCCCCGUGCUCGAGCGCGCCGUCGCCGUCGUCACCCCGCCGGCCCCCGCGGCCGAGGGCGAGGAGGUGCCGCAGCCGGAGGAGGAGCAGGUGGUGGAUGAGCGCAAGGGGGAGGAGUGGGCGCUCGCCGCCUUCUCCGGCUGGAUGCAGCUCGGCGACACCCACGCCAUGCUCGGCCGCAUGGACGAGUCCAUCGCCUGCUACGGCAAGGGCUUCGAGAUCCAGAUGGCCGCGCUCGGCGACCGCGACCCCCGCGUCGCCGAGACCUGCAGGUAUCUGGCGGAAGCGCAUGUGCAAGCUCUGCAGUUCGAUGAGGCAGAGAAGCUGUGCCGCAAAGCCCUUGAGAUCCACCGGGAGCACAGCGCCCCCGCAUCCCUCGAGGAAGCCUCCGAUCGCCGUCUGAUGGCCCUUAUCCUGGAUGCCAAGGGUGACUAUGACGGCGCCCUGGAGCACCUUGUGCUGGCCUCCAUGACCAUGGUUGCCAAUGGACGCGAUGUCGAGGUUGCCACGAUCGAUGUCGCGAUAGGCAACACCUACCUGGCCCUUGCUCGUUUCGACGAGUCUGUCUUCUCCUACCAGAAGGCCUUGACUGUCCUCAAGUCUGCCCGUGGUGACGACCACCCUUCAGUGGCAUCUGUCUUCGUCCGCCUUGCUGAUCUCUAUCACCGCACAGGGAAGCUCCGUGAGUCCAAAUCCUACUGCGAGAAUGCUCUCCGUGUCUAUGCGAAGCCCGCGCCUGGUGCUGCCCCUGACGAGGUUGCUGGAGGCCUAAUGGAGAUUGCUGCCAUCUAUGAGGCGCUUGGAGAUCUUGAUGAGGCCUUAAAGCUUCUUCAGAGGGCACUGAAGUUGCUUGAGGACUCACCAGGGCAGUGGAGCACUGUUGCUGGGAUCGAAGCACAAAUGGGUGUGUUGUACUACAUGAUAGGGAGGUAUGCUGAUUCAAGGAACUCGUUCGAGAGCGCGGUUUCCAAAUUGAGGGCCAGCGGGGAAAGGAAGUCAGCCUUUUUCGGUGUUCUGCUGAACCAGAUGGGGCUAGCUUGCGUACAGCUGUUCAAGAUUGAUGAGGCUGCACAGCUGUUUGAAGAAGCACGGGCAGUUCUAGAGCAGGAGUGUGGUGCCUCUCAUCCUGAUACUCUUGGCGUGUACAGCAACCUUGCUGCGAUCUAUGAUGCCAUGGGAAGGGUGGAAGACGCGAUCGAGAUCCUGGAGCACGUGCUGAAGGUGCGGGAGGAGAAGCUGGGCACGGCGAACCCGGACGUGGAGGACGAGAAGAAGCGGCUGGCGGAGCUGCUGAAGGAGGCUGGGCGGUCCCGGAACCGGAAGCAGAAGUCGCUAGAGAACCUGUUUGGGUCCGGUGGUGCUGCGCGGGGCGCCAAGAAGGACGGUGCCGGGGGCAGGCGGUGGACCAACUUCGGGUUCAGGAGCUGA
rnacentral:rRNA from 1 species